rnacentral:rRNA from 1 species
UACGUAGGGAGCAAGCGUUGUCCGGAAUCAUUGGGCGUAAAGCGCGCGUCGGCGGCCUCAUCAGUCCGUUAUGAAAGUCAAAGGCUCAACCUUUGAAAGCCGAUGGAUACUGUGAGGCUAGAGUCCGGAAGAGGCGAGUGGAAUUCCUGGUGUAGCGGUGGAAUGCGCAGAUAUCAGGAGGAACACCAAUAGCGAAGGCAGCUCGCUGGGACGGUACUGACGCUAAGGCGCGAAAGCGUGGGGAGCGAACAGG